AGUGAACGCUGGCGGUAGGCCUAACACAUGCAAGUCGAACGGCAGCACAGGAGAGCUUGCUCUCUGGGUGGCGAGUGGCGGACGGGUGAGGAAUACAUCGGAAUCUACUUUUUCGUGGGGGAUAACGUAGGGAAACUUACGCUAAUACCGCAUACGACCUACGGGUGAAAGCAGGGGAUCUUCGGACCUUGCGCGAUUGAAUGAGCCGAUGUCGGAUUAGCUAGUUGGCGGGGUAAAGGCCUACCAAGGCGACGAUCCGUAGCUGGUCUGCGAGGAUGAUCAGCAAGACUGGAACUGAGACACGUUGCAGACUCGUACGGGAGGCAGCAGUGGGGAAUAUUGGACAAUGGGCGCAAGCCUGAUCCAGCCAUACCUCGUGGGUGAAGAAGGCCUUCGGGUUGUAAAGCCCUUUUGUUGAAAAGAAAUCCAGCUGGUUAAUACCCGGUUGGGAUGACGGUACCCAAAGAAUAAGCACCGGCUAACUUCGUGCCAGCCGCCGCCGUAA
rnacentral:rRNA from 1 species